GUGGAUGGCGUGAAUAGUAGGUGUUUGGCGUGUGGUUUUAGUGAUUCCGUAGCAAGUAACGAUUCUCUUGUUGUGGAAUUUAAGAGUAGAAGAAUGAAGAAUUGAGAAUGGGUUGUAGGAAGAUGUCUUAAUUGUAAGGAGAUGAAUGAAUUGUCAGAAUGUCUCCCCCUCCCUGAAAAUCUCUAACAUGAUAGGGUAUUUAUAAUACUCCUAUCCUACUCCUACUAAACUAAUAAAAUAAAUAACCAAAUCCUAAUAUACUAAUGAAAUCCUUGACCCAAUUGUACUAGGGUAAGGUUACAAAAUUAUAAUCCAAAUAGAAUGAUGAAACACAUAACCUAAUUGCACUAGGUUAAUGUAUUAUGGCAAAAAUCCAGCUUUGUGUCUGUAAGUCCCAAAGUCUUCAGAAAUGCUGUUUUAGCCCGGGACAGAUUUUCCAUGCAGCAGAUUUAGUCCUUUAUGCGUCCAGCUCCUUUCCAUCUCGUUUGUGAGCUUUCUUUUGCGUCAAGUAAGCCAUAAAUUGCUGUAUUUUGCAUCAUUUAUACCUGAAACUUUCCUAAUCACAUUUGUUAGCUCAUUUACAGGAAAAAGGACUAAAAGUGUACGAAAUAGAUAAUUAGUUCUCGAAACUAGGC
rnacentral:lncRNA from 1 species